rnacentral:rRNA from 1 species
AGGGUUUGAUCAUGGCUCAGGACGAACGCUGGCGGCGUGCCUAACACAUGUAAGUCGAGCGGGGUCCAACCAGCGGCAACGCUGGUGAAGACCUAGCGGCGAACGGGUGAGUAACACGUGAGGAACCUGCCCCGAAGACCGGGAUAACUCGAGGAAACCCGAGCUAAUACCGGAUACCCUCUUUUGGCCGCAUGGUCGAAAGAGGAAAGGUCUUUUCGCUUCGGGAGGGCCUCGCGACCUAUCAGUUUGUUGGUGGGGUAACGGCCCACCAAGACUUAGACGGGUAGCUGGUCUGAGAGGACGAUCAGCCACACUGGGACUGAGACACGGCCCAGACUCCUACGGGAGGCAGCAGUGGGGAAUCUUGCGCAAUGGGCGAAAGCCUGACGCAGCGACGCCGCGUGGGGGACGAAGGCUCUCGGGUCGUAAACCCCUUUCAGCAGGGACGAAAUUGACGGUACCUGCAGAAGAAGCCCCGGCCAACUACGUGCCAGCAGCCGCGGUAACACGUAGGGGGCGAGCGUUGUCCGGAUUCAUUGGGCGUAAAGGGCUCGUAGGCGGCUCGGCAAGUCGGGUGUGAAAUUCCAGGGCUCAACCCUGAAACGCCAUUCGAUACUGCCGUAGCUAGAGUCCGGUAGGGGAGCGUGGAAUUCCUGGAGUAGCGGUGAAAUGCGCAGAUAUCAGGAGGAACACCAACGGCGAAGGCAGCGCUCUGGGCCGGUACUGACGCUGAGGAG